UACGUAGGUGACGAGCGUUAAUCGGAAUUACUGGGCGUAAAGCGUGCGUAGACGGUUAUUUAAGUCGGGUGUGAAAGCCCCGGGCUCAACCUGGGAAUUGCAUUCGAGACUGAAUAGCUAGGGUACGGUAGAGGGAAGUGGAAUUUCCGGUGUAGCGGUGAAAUGCGUAGAUAUCGGAAGGAACAUCAGUGGCGAAAGCGACUUCCUGGACCAGUACCGACGUUCAGGCACGAAAGCGUGGGGAGCAAACAGG
rnacentral:rRNA from 1 species